rnacentral:rRNA from 1 species
UACGUAGGGGGCAAGCGUUGUCCGGAAUCAUUGGGCGUAAAGCGCGUGUAGGCGGCUCGAUAAGUCUGCUGUGAAAGUCCAGGGCUCAACCCUGGGAUGCCGGUGGAUACUGUCGAGCUCGAGUCCGGAAGAGGCGAGUGGAAUUCCUGGUGUAGCGGUGAAAUGCGCAGAUAUCAGGAGGAACACCAAUAGCGAAGGCAGCUCGCUGGGACGGUACUGACGCUGAGGCGCGAAAGCGUGGGGAGCAAACAGG